CGUUGUCCGGAUUUAUUGGGCGUAAAGAGCGUGUAGGCGGCCAGGUAGGUCUGCUGUGAAAACUCGAGGCUCAACCUCGAGACGUCGGCGGAAACCAUCUGGCUAGAGUACGGAAGAGGAGAGUGGAAUUCCUGGUGUAGCGGUGAAAUGCGCAGAUAUCAGGAAGAACACGCGUGGCGAAGGCGGCUCUAUGGGACGGUACUGACGCUGAGACGCGAAAGCGUGGGGAGCGAACAGG
rnacentral:rRNA from 1 species